CCUGGAGAUUCCUACGGGAGGCAGCAGUGGGGAAUAUUGCACAAUGGGCGCAAGCCUGAUGCAGCGACGCCGCGUGAGGGAUGACGGCCUUCGGGUUGUAAACCUCUGUUAGCAGGGAAGAAGAGAGAUUGACGGUACCUGCAGAGAAAGCGCCGGCUAACUACGUGCCAGCAGCCGCGGUAAUACGUAGGGCGCGAGCGUUGUCCGGAAUUAUUGGGCGUAAAGAGCUUGUAGGCGGUUUGUCGCGUCUGCUGUGAAAGGCCGGGGCUUAACUCCGUGUAUUGCAGUGGGUACGGGCAGACUAGAGUGCAGUAGGGGGGACUGGAAUUCCUGGUGUAGCGGUGGAAUGCGCAGAUAGCAGGAGGAACACCGAUGGCGAAGGCAGGUCUCUGGGCUGUAACUGACGCUGAGAAGCGAAAGCAUGGGGAGCGAACAGGAUUAGAAACCCGUGUCC
rnacentral:rRNA from 1 species